rnacentral:rRNA from 1 species
ACUCCUACGGGAGGCAGCAGUGGGGAAUUUUGGACAAUGGGGGAAACCCUGAUCCAGCAAUGCCGCGUGAGUGAAGAAGGCCUUCGGGUUGUAAAGCUCUUUUGUCAGGGAAGAAACACCGGCUCUAACACAGUCCGGGAAUGACGGUACCUGAAGAAUAAGCACCGGCUAACUACGUGCCAGCAGCCGCGGUAAUAC